rnacentral:rRNA from 1 species
UGAGUCAUUGCAGUAAUGCAAGGCAGACGGCUCAGUAACACGUAGUCAACCUACCCUAUAGACGGGGAUAACCUCGGGAAACUGAGGAUAAACCCCGAUAGAUCAUUAUGCCUGGAACGGUUUAUGGUCCAAAUGAUUCGUCGCUAUAGGAUGGGACUGCGGCCUAUCAGCUUGUUGGUGAGGUAAUGGCCCACCAAGGCUAUUACAGGUACGGGCUCUGAGAGGAGAAGCCCGGAGAUGGGUACUGAGACACGGACCCAGGUCCUAUGGGGCGCAGCAGGCGAGAAAACUUUGCAAUGUGCGCAAGCACGACAAGGUUAAUCCGAGUGAUUCCUGCUAAAGGAAUCUUUUGUUAGUUGUAAAACCACUGAUGAAUAAGGGGUGGGCAAGUUCUGGUGUCAGCCGCCGCGGUAAAACCAGCACCUCAAGUGGUCAGGAGGAUUAUUGGGCCUAAAGCAUCCGUAGCCUGCUCUGUAAGUUUUCGGUUAAAUUCAUCAGCUCAACUGAUGGGCCGCCGAAAAAACUGCAAAGCUAGGGAGUGGGAGAGGUAGACGGUACUCGAUAGGAAGGGGUAAAAUCCUUUGAUCUAUUGAUGACCCCCUGUGGCGAAGGCGGUCUACCAGAACACGUUCGACGGUGAGGGAUGAAAGCUGGGGGAGCAAACCGGAUUAGAUACCCGGGUAGUCCCAGCUGUAAACGAUGCAGACUCGGUGAUGCCCUGGCUUGUGGCCAGUGCAGUGCCGCA